UCAUCGAACAUUUUCCAAUGGUAAAGCUAUGAUGUGAAUCCAGGAUUCUGUACGAUUCUUUGAUUCUAGAGUCAGAAAGCUGAUGCAGUAAGGCAGUUUCAGAGUGGAUACUGUUUGUAUUACAGCUCAGCCUGAUUCCUGUACCUAUGCCAGCAUCGUGUUUGACAGCAAUAGAAAAGUUCAAGGUGGUAAGACUCUCCGGGUUGCUGAUUCAGAAGAGACGGAUGUAACCUAUGCAGCUGUGGUGAAGACUCAUUAGGAGUGAAUAAGAACUGAACCUGUGUCACUGAGAUUGCAUUGUAUCUCAGAUCAAAUUCAAGGAACGUCAUGGAACUUACCAGCUCAGAAACUUGGCAUUAUUAUUCUCCAAAAUUGUUUUUAAAAUUUUUUUUUUAAAUUUGUGCCUUUUUAUCCUAGUGUAUUUUUAAUUGUGGAUUGAAACGCAUCAGAAUUGUUGAAAACCAAGGAUUGUUUAAGGGAUACUGCACACUUUUGAAAGCAAGUAACCUGACACUCAUUGUAAGUAUUGUUUACACAGCUGCUGAGUCAGACAGCAGCAGAAGAAGGUGCGGACGAACUGGAGACAUGCCCAUGUACAAAUGGAGAUUCAGCCAGAAACAAGUAUCUGAUUGGUUUUGAUCUAAAGACCAGUAAUCAAUGACAAAGACCGUCUUGCUGCCAAUGACUAUGUGAUUGGU